GACGAACGCUGGCGGCGUGCUUAACACAUGCAAGUCGAGCGGUAAGGCCCUUUCGGGGGUACACGAGCGGCGAACGGGUGAGUAACACGUGGGUGACCUGCCCUCAGCUCUGGGAUAAGCCUGGGAAACCGGUCUAAUACUGGAUAUGACUCCAUGACGCAUGUUGUGGGGUGGAAAGCCUUGUGCGGCUGAGGAUGGGCCCGCGGCCUAUCAGCUUGUUGGUGGGGU
rnacentral:rRNA from 1 species